rnacentral:lncRNA from 1 species
CAUCCCCAUUCCCAAUUCCCGCUUUCCCGACCCCAUUCCCAGUUUCCCAUUCCCAGUUUCCCAUUCCCAGUUUCCCAUUCCCAGUUCCCCAUUCCCCGUCCCAGUUCUCAUUCCCACAUUCCCAUUCCCAGUUCCCAUUCCCAGUCCCCAUUCCCAGUCCCCAUUUCCCAUUCCCAAUUCCCAUUCCCAGUUUCCCAUUCCCAGUCCCCGUUCCCAUCCCCAGUUCCCAUUCCCAAUUCCCAUUUCCAGUUUCCCAUUCCCAGUUCCCAUUUCCCCAUUCCCAGUUCCCAUUCCCAUUCCCAGUUCCCAAUUCCCAGUCCCCAUUCCCAUUCCCAGUCCCCAUUCCCAUUCCCAUUCCCAGUUCGCAUUCCCAGUUCCCAUUCCCAGUUCCCAUUCCCAGUUUCCCAUUCCCACAUUCCCAAUUCCCAUUCCCACUUUUCCACGCCCGUUCCCGCAGGCGUACCGGGUGCUGCCGGAGCCGGAUCCCCGGGACCCCCGGCAUUCCCGGGAGGGCGGUGAUUCCCGGAAUUCCCAGAAUUCCCGGGAUUCGCUGCGCGCCUGGCGCUGCUCGGAGCGGCCGGAGCCGGCCGUGUGCGGGAUCAGCCGCGUCUGGGUGCUGCGGGCGCAGCGGCGCCGCGGCAUCGCCCGCAGGAUGCUGGAGGCGCUCAGGCGCACGUUCCUGUUCGGCUCGGUGCUGAGCUGCCGGGAUCUGGCGUUCUCGGAGCCCACGGCCGACGGGCGCGGCUUCGCCGAGCGCUGCUGCGCCCGCCCCGACUUCCUCGUCUACCGGCCGCUCCCGCCCGGCGCCGCCGCUCCGGGAGCUGCACCGGGAUCAUCGGGAUCUGCACCGGGAUCAUCAGGAUCCGCACCGGGAUCUGCUCCGGGAUCUGCUCCAGGAUCAUCGGGAUCUGCCACGGGAUCAUCGGGAUCCGCACCGGGAUCAUCGGGAUCUGCACCGGGAUCCGCACCGGGAUCAUCGGGAUCUGCCACGGGAUCAUCGGGAUCCGCACCGGGAUCUGCACCGGGAUCUGCCACGGGAUCCGCACCGGGAUCAUCGGGAUCCGCACCGGGAUCAUCAGGAUCUGCACCGGGAUCAUCAGGAACCGCUACGGGAUCCGCCACAGGAUCUGCUCCAGGAUCAUCGGGAGCCACUCUAGGAUCUACUACGGGAUCUGCCACAGGACCAUCGGGAUCUGCCACAGGACCAUCGGGAUCUGCCACGGGAUCAUCAGGAUCCGCUCCGGAAUCCGCUCCAGGAUCUGCUCCAGGAUCAUCGGGAACCGCCAUGGGAUCCACCACAGGAUCUGCUCCAGGAUCAGCUCUGGGAUUUGCACUCGGAUCCACAGGAUCCACGCCAGGAUCUGCUCCGGGAGCCACUCUGGGAUCCACACCAGGAUCUGCUCUGGGAUCAUCAGGAUCUGCUCCAGGUUCCACAUCAGGAUCUGCUCUGGGAUCAUCAGGAUCUGCUCUGGGAUCCACAUCGGGAUCUGCUCCAGGAUCCACACCGAGACCACAGGAAUCCACUCCAGGAUCCGCACCAGGAUCCACUCUGGGUUCAGCUCUGGGAUCCACUCUGGGACCACCAGGAUCCAGUCUGGGAUCCAGCCCAGGAUCGCCGGGAUCGGCUCCAGGAUCCACACUGGGAUCACCGGGAUCGACUCCAGGAUCCGCUGUGGGAUCUGCUCUGGGAUCCGCACCGGGAUCGGCUCCGACAGCACCUCUGGGAUCCACAGCGGGAUCAGCAGCGGGAUCGGCUCCCGGAUCACCGGGAUCAGCAGCGGGAUCGGCUCCCGGAUCACCGGGAUCAGCAGCGGGAUCGGGACUGACAUCAGCGGGAUCGGGAUUGGGAUCAUCGGGAUUGGGAUCAUCGGGAUCGGGGUCCUUGGGAUCAUCGGGAUCGGGGUCCUUGGGCCCGGCCUGAGUUCCCGAGGGGCCGGAAAAGCCGGGAUGGAUCCCGGGGAUCCGGCUGAGAUCCCGAGGGAGUUGGAGCUGCCACGGGAAUCUGGGAUCCCUUCCCUUGGGAAUUCCUCAUUCCCUGGGAAUCCUGGCCUGGAUCCCAACGAAAUCCCUCGUUGCCUUGGGAAUCCCGGGAUCCCUUCCCUUGGGAAUCCCGGGAUCCCUUCCCUUGGGAAUUCCGGGAUCCCUUCCCUCAGGAACUCCUCAUUCCCCUUGGUUUGGGAAUUCUGCCCUGGAUCCUUUCCCUCGGGAAUUCCUCAUUCCCACAGGAAUUCCCCUUUCCCUCUGGGAUCCCUCAUUCCCUCGGGAUUCCCUCAUUCCCUUCCUUUCUUUGGGAAUCUUUCUCUUCCCGUGGGAAUCCCUUCCCCCAAUCCCUUCCCAAUCCUUCAUUCCCUUCGGCACCUUUCCCUUGGGAAUUCCUCAUUCCUUUUUUUGGGAAUCCUUCCCUUCCCUCUCUUUCCCUCUGGAAUCCCUCAUUCGCUUGGGAAUUCUUUCCUUGGGAAUUCUUCCUUUGGGAAUCUCCCUGGGAGCCCUUCCCUCCUCCUCCCUCCCUUCCCAGUUCCUGAAUUCCACUGGAAAUCCUGGAAUUUCACUGGAAAUCCUGGAAUUCCACUGGCAAUCCACCAGGAAAUCCUGGAAUUCCUCUGGAAAUCCUGGAAUUCCACCAGGAAAUCCUGGAAUUCCACUGGAAAUCCUGGAAUUCUGCUGGGAAAUCCUGGAAUUCUGCCGGGAUCCCUCGGAAUUCCCGGCUUUUCCCGGGUGAUUUUUUUGGGAUUUUGGUUAAUUGGGGUCAGGGUUUCGUUCAUGGGAAUUCCCUUUUCCCGUUCCCUGGGAAUUCCAGGGGGUUGUGGGAAUAUCCCGAGGUUUUACGGUGAUAUUCCAGAAGUUUCUGUUGAUAUUCCAAGGUUUUGUGAAGAUAUUCCAUAAAUGUGUCAAUAUUCCAAGGUUUUGUGAUGCUGUUCCAAGGUUUUAUGGAAAUAUUCCAAGGUUUUCUGAUGACGUUCCAUAAAUUUCUGUCGAUAUCCCGAGGUUUUAUGAAGAUAUUCCAUAAAUUUCUGACAAUAUUCCAAGGCUUUCUUUUAUUUCAGGGAUCUACAGAAAUAUUCCAAGGGUUUGAGGAGAUUCCAAGGUUUUAUGGGAAUAUUUCAAUAGUUUUUUAGAUAUUCCAAGGGUUUGAGAAUAUCCCAAGGUUGUAUGGGAAUAUUUUGUGGUAUUUUUGGAUAUUCCAAGGUUUUAAGGGAAUAUUUUGGGGGGUUUUUUUGGAUAUUCCAAACUUUUAUGGAAAUAUUCCAAAUUUUGGGGGGAUAUUCUGGGAUUUUAUGGGAAUAUUUUGGGGGUUUUGGGGAUAUUCCGAGGUUUUAUGGGAAAAUUUUGGAUUUUUUUGGAUAUUCCAAGGUUUUAUGGGAAUAUUUUGGGUUUUUUGGGGAUAUUCCAGGGUUUUUUUGGGAUUUUCCUCCCUCGGAGCAGCCAAAUCCCAUCCCAGCUCCCGCCCCUCUGGAAAAGCCAAAUCCCAAGGAAAAAUCCAAGCCCAGCGAGAGGAACAAAGAAAUCCAUUUAUUGGGAACGUUCCGGAGGAAAAACUCGGGGAAAAUCCAGCCCAAAAACUUGGGGAAAUCCAGGAACAAACCUGGAAAAAUCCAACCCUCAAGUCUGAGAAAUCCAACCCUAAAAACUGCGGAAAAAUCCAGGAAAAAACUUGGGAAAAUCCGAAAUCCAGAGGGAAAAAUCCAACUGCAGAAAGAGGGAAAAUCCAGGUUAAAAAAAGAGGGAAAACCUGACCUGAAAGAGGGAAAAUCCAGCCCAAAAAAUAGGGAAAAUCCAGGAAAAAAACUUAGGAAAAUCCAUCACAAAAGGAAGGAAAAGCCAGCAGACAAAAAAGAGGGAAAAUCUGACCUAAAAAAGGGAAAAUUCAGCCCAAAACCUUGAGAAAAUCCAGGAAAAAACUUGGGAAAAAUCCAAACUCCAGAGGGAAAAUCCCACCCCAAAGAGAGGGAAAAUCCUGCCUGGAAAAGAGGGAAAAUCCAACCCCAAAGUUGGAAAAGUGGGAAAAUCCAAGUAAAAAAUGAGGGAAAUUCCAACCCCAAGUUUGAGAAAUCCAACCCUAAAAACUUGGGAAAAAUCCAGGAAUAAAACUUGGGAAAAUCCAACCUCA